rnacentral:rRNA from 1 species
UGGGGAAUAUUGGACAAUGGGCGAAAGCCUGAUCCAGCAAUACCGCGUGUGUGAAGAAGGCCUUAGGGUUGUAAAGCACUUUCAAUUGGAAGGAAAAAAGUGAGGUCAAUACCCUCACUCUUGACAUUACCUUUAGAAGAAGCACCGGCUAACUCCGUGCCAGCAGCCGCGGUAAUACGGAGGGUGCGAGCGUUAAUCGGAAUUACUGGGCGUAAAGCGUGCGUAGGCGGCUCGUUAAGUCAGAUGUGAAAGCCCUGGGCUCAACCUGGGAACUGCAUUUGAAACUGGCGAGCUAGAGUUUGAGAGAGGUAAGUGGAAUUUCAGGUGUAGCGGUGAAAUGCGUAGAGAUCUGAAGGAACACCAGUGGCGAAGGCGACUUACUGGCUUAAAACUGACGCUGAGGUACGAAAGCGUGGGUAGCAAACAGG